rnacentral:rRNA from 1 species
ACGCUCGACACCUACGGGAGGCAGCAGUGGGGGAUAUUGCACAAUGGGGGAAACCCUGAUGCAGCGACGCCGCGUGAAGGAAGAAGGCCUUGGUUGUAACUUCUGUCGUACGGGACGAUAAUGACGGUACCGUACAAGAAGCCACGGCUAACUACGUGCAAGCAGCCGCGGUAAUCUGAGCGGGCUGGCAAGGC